GUCCAUGUAGUAUAUCCAUUACACUGGUCUUGUAAGCCAGAAAAGGGAAAAUAAACCUCCCCAUAGACUC
rnacentral:tRNA from 1 species